rnacentral:rRNA from 1 species
UACAGAGGGUGCAAGCGUUGUUCGGAAUUAUUGGGCGUAAAGCGCGUGUAGGCGGUCGAAUAAGUCUGGUGUGAAAGCCCGGGGCUCAACUCCGGAAGUGCACUGGAUACUGUUUGACUAGAGGGCGAGAGAGGAGAGUGGAAUUCCUGGUGUAGGGGUGAAAUCCGUAGAUAUCAGGAGGAACAUCUGUGGCGAAGGCGGCUCUCUGGCUCGUUUCUGACGCUGAGACGCGAAAGCGUGGGGAGCAAACAGG